GAUGAACGCUGGCGGCGUGCCUAAUACAUGCAAGUCGAGCGAAUGGAUUAAGAGCUUGCUCUUAUGAAGUUAGCGGCGGACGGGUGAGUAACACGUGGGUAACCUGCCCAUAAGACUGGGAUAACUCCGGGAAACCGGGGCUAAUACCGGAUAACAUUUUGAACCGCAUGGUUCGAAAUUGAAAGGCGGCUUCGGCUGUCACUUAUGGAUGGACCCGCGUCGCAUUAGCUAGUUGGUGAGGUAACGGCUCACCAAGGCAACGAUGCGUAGCCGACAUGAAAGGGUGAUCGGCCACACUGGGACUGAGACACGUCCCAGACUCCUACGGGAGGCAGCAGUAGGGAAUCUUCCGCAAUGGACGAAAGUAUGACGGAGCAACGCCGCGUGAGUGAUGAAGGCUUUCGGGUCGUAAAACUCUGUUGUUAGGGAAGAACAAGUGCUAGUUGAAUAAGCUGGCACCUUGACGGUACCUAACCAGAAAGCCACGGCUAACUACGUGCCAGCCGCCGCAGUAA
rnacentral:rRNA from 1 species